rnacentral:rRNA from 1 species
AACACAUGCAAGUCGAGCGCCCUUUUCGGAGGGAGCGGCAGACGGGUGAGUAACGCGUGGGAAUCUACCGAGCCCUAAGGAAUAACUCCGGGAAACUGGAACUAAUACCUUAUACGCCCUACGGGGGAAAGAUUUAUCGGGGUUUGAUGAGCCCGCGUUGGAUUAGCUAGUUGGUGGGGUAAAGGCCUACCAAGGCGACGAUCCAUAGCUGGUCUGAGAGGAUGAUCAGCCACAUUGGGACUGAGACACGGCCCAAACUCCUACGGGAGGCAGCAGUGGGGAAUAUUGGACAAUGGGCGCAAGCCUGAUCCAGCCAUGCCGCGUGAGUGAAGAAGGUCUUAGGAUUGUAAAGCUCUUUCACCGAUGAAGAUAAUGACUGUAGUCGGAGAAGAAGCCCCGGCUAACUUCGUGCCAGCAGCCGCGGUAAUACGAAGGGGGCUAGCGUUGUUCGGAAUUACUGGGCGUAAAGCGCACGUAGGCGGAUAUUUAAGUCAGGGGUGAAAUCCCGCAGCUCAACUGCGGAACUGCCUUUGAUACUGGGUAUCUUGAGUAUGGAAGAGGUAAGUGGAAUUGCGAGUGUAGAGGUGAAAUUCGUAGAUAUUCGCAGGAACACCAGUGGCGAAGGCGGCUUACUGGUCCAUUACUGACGC